rnacentral:rRNA from 1 species
CAUGUGACGAGUUUGAUCCUGGCUCAGAACGAACGCUGGCGGCAGGCCUAACACAUGCAAGUCGAGCGAACCCUUCGGGGUUAGCGGCGGACGGGUUAGUAACGCGUGGGAAUAUACCCUUUGGUACGGAAUAGCCUCGGGAAACUGAGAGUAAUACCGUAUGUGCCCUUCGGGGGAAAGAUUUAUCGCCAAAGGAUUAGCCCGCGUUGGAUUAGAUAGUUGGUGGGGUAAUGGCCUACCAAGUCUACGAUCCAUAGCUGGUUUGAGAGGAUGAUCAGCAACACUGGGACUGAGACACGGCCCAGACUCCUACGGGAGGCAGCAGUGGGGAAUCUUAGACAAUGGGCGCAAGCCUGAUCUAGCCAUGCCGCGUGGACGACGAAGGCCUUAGGGGUUGUAAAGUCCUUUCAGAUGGGAAGAUAAUGACGGUACCAUCAGAAGAAGCCCCGGCUAACUCCGUG